UCGUCAGGUGGGAUAAUCCUCACCUGUUCCUCCUUUGGAGGACAGAUAAAACAUGAUGAUUGGAGAUGCAUGAAACGUGAUUAACGUCUCUGCGUAAUCAGGACUUGCAACACCCUCAUUGCUCCUAUCUGAU
ensembl:snoRNA U8 U8 small nucleolar RNA